GUGAUUUCAAAAUAAUCAUUUCUGGCUGGGGUUGUAGCUCAGUGGUUCCACCGCCUGCCUCGCAAAUGCAAGGACCCGAGUUCGAUCCCUCGUACCAAAAUAAUCACUUCUUUCUAUCAGUGCACAACAAAUAGGAUAUGAGUCUCCUCAGGCUGUCAUAACAAAAUAGCAUAGACUACGUGGCUUAAACAAUCGAAACUUAUUUCCUCACAUUCUGGAGGCUGGAAGUCCAAGAUAAAGGUAUCGUCUUGGUAGCUUCUUCCAGAAAGCUAUCAGAGAGAAUCUGUUCCAGAUCUCAGUCUAGUGGUUUGCUGAUAAUCUUUGCUCCUUGGUUUCUGUUGUGGUGCCCUGAUCUCUGCCUCCAUAUAACAUGGUAUUCUCCGUGUGUGUGUGUGUGUGUGUGCGUGCGUGCGCGCGUCUGUUCAAAUUACCUAAUUAAGUGUACCCUAAUGACCUCAUUGUAACUUGACUUCCCUUACAGUUAUCUGGGAAAUUAUUUCUGCUUUGAUUUUUUUCUAGAGCCUCGUUCAUCAGCUUUGUUACUUCUGGUAUUACCACUUCAGAGUCCGAGGGAGUGGCUUUCAGGUUGUUCCACCUCAUUGCCCUCAAGGUUUGGUUCUGAUGAUCAUGGAUUGAAACCUCUACAAAUGGCUGACCAGUAAUAGCUGCAGCUCUACACCAGAUGCUAACAUCAGCAAAGCAGACACCCCCUCUGACUGGCUGCCAUCAUUGUGCAGGGUCUCAUUAAGUUGCCCAGGCUGAACUCAAACUUGCAGUCUUCCUGUCUCAGUCUCUGUGUUGAGAUUGCAGGUGUGCACCACCAUGCCCAGGUAGCACCCCACCCUCUAAUCAGAGUGAUUAUGUUUCUGUUUGAAACCUAAUAUGCAUAUAGCUUUCUUAUUCUUUUCUCAAUCUUUUCUGAAAGUGUUGGAACUUGGUUUAUAUUUAGUGUAUUUAGAUUUAACAUUAUUUGUUUUCUAUUUGUUCUGCCUGCUCAAUGUUUUCGUUCCUUUGAUUUCUUUUGGAUUAAGAACUUUACUAACC
rnacentral:lncRNA from 1 species